AAGACUAUGAUCACGACCAUACUUUGCCACAGUGGUCCUAGGAUCUCCUACGUGCUUUUGCAUCGUCAUCCACAGAGAGUGGUCAUCUCACGUCUUUCCAAAUAAGGUGGGAACAAGAAAAGUAGAUAAAAUAAUCUAACGGAUUAAUUCAUGUUUCAUAUAUUCGUUCAUGUUUUUCAUUCCAUGUCAACAAUUUCAUGUAAU
rnacentral:lncRNA from 1 species